rnacentral:misc_RNA from 1 species
UCUCCGUAGGUGAACCUGCGGAGGGAUCAUUAUAGUACAGCAUGUGAGGGACAUCCGAGUGCAGUCGCUGACCCAAAAGCCGUGCAGGCCCGAGUGCGUCCUCUUGCAUACUAAUCCAUCACACACUUUUUGCAUCACCGCGUCGCCGCUCAUCGAGUCAAUCACGUAAAACUGCUAACGAUUGCACACAUAGCUCCCUCAUAGAAGAGUAGAAUAGCCACAUGGAUGAGCUCACUACAACUCUCAACUACGGAUCUCUUGGCUCUCGCACCGAUGAAG